CUUUUUUUACCUACCUGGAGUUUUGGUGGUACUCUUUUCAAUUUAAGUUUGUACAUUUUUUUAUGUUACUACCUAGAUAUGGUAAAUAUCUUGACCAUCAACACUUCAUUUAUUGUCUUAUUAUUUUACUUUUUGAGCCUUCUCCGGUCCUUCUAAGGGAUCAGUGUCGAUGAGCGUAUUGCGACUGGAUUAUGAGUUUAAGAGUGUUGAUGAGUCAUUAAAGGGAUCAGUUAUUAUUGACUAAGAAGCUGCUUCCACAUUAACUUCUAUAAUUGGAUACCUUGAAGAAGAAUCCUCUACAAUAUUACCAACAUUGUUCAGGACAUCGUUUGAGUAACUAAAGUCUAUUAACGUUGAUUUAAGAUAUGGUACUUCAUCGGGUGUCAUGCUCUCUUUACAUUGGGUUGGUCAAAUUACAGAUUCUCUGGCUCUCCUUUUGGUUUUGGAGAUCUCUUGAUGAGGAGAAUAGAGUUCAGAAGCGCAUCUUUUCACAGUUUUUGGAGAUGACGCAUUGGAUACCUUUCGAUAUUAAACCGUCAUAAACUAAUAAGUUCUUUUUCAUAAUUUUUAAAUAAGUAGUCCCCUAAAUUCAUCUCAGUUUUUGACUUUUUGGAUGAGUGUCUUCCUUGCUUUUACUGCAGAUUCCGCAUGACCGUUGAAUAGGACCUCCAUCACUUUGCAUUCAUUCCAGAAUACCAUAGUUUGAACCAACAUGAAAGAAUGGUAGUAACUGCAUCGGUAUUUAGAAGACGGAGUUGUGCAACUAGAGGCCAUCCAGAAAAGUGAUACACGGCAAAUAUGGUGUCCUUCGUGGAGCACUUGAAUAGAUCCCAUAGACUGAAUGCAUGAGAUGCCAAAGAUUAUGCAAAUCGUUCUGAUACUAAUCAUGGUUUGUAUUACUUACACUUACAAUAAGAGUUAAAGUUCCCUUGUAUGUCGAAUACCAUGCUGAGAUAUAUGAAGUUUAUGGAUAAUUUCUUUUUGACUCAUAUUUAAGACAAUUAUUUGGUUUGGAUUUAAGAAAAGGAGGUCUGAAACGCCAUUUACAGAUAAAUGAUCUCACACUUUGAAAAGGAUGUGCCGCGACGGUCAGGAGGUAGGUUUCUUAUAUUGAAACCUUUCAGAAGAGAGUUUAUUAGAACUUGAAACUUAGAAUCUUGUUUAACUAAGCUAUCAGUGGUUGUAGAGAUGGAUCUGUAUACUGAGUGAUUAGACUAUUUAAGGAUAUUUCGGAACUUUGUAGGGAUCAAAAACAAGAUUUCGAGGUAGAACUUUAACAAUAAUGUUGAUUUAUUUUCUCAGGUAUAUCCUGCAAGUUUCUCCAUUAUUCUUUGAAGUAUUACAUUUUCUAUUCCAUUUAUAUUCCUAAUGAUUUUUUGCAACAGAACGUAGCAGUAGCAUUCCGAGAUUCCUUCCCAAUGCUUUGUAACCUACGUAUUAUUUAUAUACCAUUAAUUAAGGUUUGAAGAAUUAUUAUCAUCUAGCUUGUUUACAUUUUUGUUUCUAAUUUCUCAAAGCUGGAGUACAACGGCAAAAAAGUCUCAAGGCGAAAACGUCGCAAAGCUAACCAAUACAAGGCGAAAACACCUCAAGGUAAAAGCAACACUAGCCAAACAUGUCUUAAGGCGAAAGCAUCAAAAGGCAAAUACGUACAGGACAAAAAUGGUCAAGGCAAAUCCUCCUUACACGAUAUAACGAGUCCAGUUGAAUCCUGACUUAAAAUUUUAUAUAGAAAUUCAAAGGGGUGAUGAUCUAUAAAAAAGGAUGUACUUUGGCCUUUAAUAAUAUAUUUAAAAUGUAAUUGUAUCUAAGAAAAUAAACCGAUUGGAACAGGUGUUUCCUCAACCAGUCCAUCCAAAUCGGAAUAGGCGGAAUCAAAUUUUUAAGGUCCUAGGAAUUUGUUAAUGAGAUGCUGGAAGACUGCUCCUGCGUUCUGCAAACCAUAAGGCAUAUAAUGGAGUUCUUAGACCAAAAGGAGCGAUAAUGGCCGUUUUUUUCUUUUGAUUAUCUUUUAGAGGAAAGCAGACACAUCAUGGAGAAGAGAAUAAGGAUCUGGAACAGAUAGUCUCAAAUCAUACAACACUCUACUUUAUUCUUCUUAAGCACAAAAAGAAAGAAGUCCAAAAAAAUCUAUAUAUGAAAGCUUCAUUCAAUUAUAUGGGGGGUAGGGGAAGAUAAAAAGAGUGGUCGACGAGCAAUCAACAAGCACCAGACUCAGAGCUCUUUGGCUGUUUCUUCUCUCUUACAGGAAAAAUAUAUAUAUCCGGUUUAUUUAUUUUUACGAAAGAGAGACCACAGCCCAGAAUUGUAUGGACGUCUAGAUGAGGCUUGAAUUGUUUCAUUGGAUUCUUAAAUUCACACUCCUUAGUUUUAUAAAAAUUUUUUACCUCUAUAUUGGAAUAAGAAUUUUUUUUUUUUUUAGAUUUCGUUAUUUUCAGUCCAUGAUAUAUUUCCCUCUUAAUUACAAACCAUUUUUUCAUGAUGAUGUUCAAAAAGUAAAAAAAAAAACUCUUGUUUGUCUCAUUUUCACUAUCAUCAGUAUAGAUUGCUUUAUUAAAAAAAAAUCAUCUCCUUAUAUGUAGAUUUGU
rnacentral:lncRNA from 1 species